AGACUGAUAUGGUACUCAUUUGAAUCAAUGUACUUUCAGGUCUGUUGAACGGGAGUUGCAAAGAAUACAAUGCUUUAACUACAUAGUGGACAACACGGUACUGAAGACCGGACAGUCGUCAACAAAUGUUUCAAAAGAAACUAAGCAAGGCGCAUUCAGGCCAUUUUCAGGGGACAGCAAGCCUGGUCCAAGUAUUUUACGUAACUCUGAACAAAAUAGGGCUCGGAUUGUUGACUCACAGCCUAGAUCUGUAAAAAUUCAUUCUCCGUCUUCUAGUGCUGACACGACUAGUUCAACACUUCCGCCAUCUUCGCAAUCGUUCCGUGCGCAAGAUAGGUGCGCGCCGAAUGGAAGGCCGAUUCCCAUCGGUCAGGCUUCUGUGACGUCAGAAUCUAGAUUGAGUGGUCUUGACUUUAAUAUCUCCAAUUUUUCAGGUUUUGAAGGAUUUAAUUCUGUUCGCAAGGCGCUGAUGAUGACUUCCAGUGUAAUAAAAGAUAUUGAUCAACUUCUAGAGAGAAAAUAAAGAUUUGCACCAUCACAUAUUUAUAAUGAUGUGUAUGUCGUUAUUUAUAUAUCACAUGAUUCCGUUGACAUGCAAUUUUUCUGAUGCUAUUUUGCGGCCACACAUGUUUACGAUAACGAAUUCCUGUGUUUACGGAGUUGUCUUGCGAAAUGGACAUGCUUCUCUAGAGCAGCUCUACGUGAUUACGUACUUAGAAUAAUUCUCAUUUACAUUACCAAGAAGCUAUUAUUUAUUCAAAGAGAAUUUACGUCGAUGUUCCAAAUCCGAUUUGUACUAUCUACUUUGAAGGCAAUCAGGGCGCAUUGUCAGACACUCUAGUUAAGACGUGUGUGUAUCAUGACACAGCUUACAGAGAUCUCAUUUGUCUCACUUUUUUAAACACACAUCAAAGCAUUUAUCACAUUAAUUUCGCAAUCGCCAAACUAUAAAUUCAAUAGUUCGUUAUUAGAUGAAGUGUCUUUGCAAUUCAUUAAUAAAUCAGUUCGCCUUA